rnacentral:rRNA from 1 species
GAUGAACGCUGGCGGCGUGCUUAACACAUGCAAGUCGAACGAUGAAGCCCAGCUUGCUGGGUGGAUUAGUGGCGAACGGGUGAGUAACACGUGAGUAACCUGCCCUUAACUCUGGGAUAAGCCUGGGCAACUGGGUCUAAUACCGGAUAGGAGCGUCCACCGCAUGGUGGGUGUUGGAAAGAUUUAUCGGUUUUGGAUGGACUCGCGGCCUAUCAGCUUGUUGGUGAGGUAUUGGCUCACCAAGGCGACGACGGGUAGCCGGCCUGAGAGGGUGACCGGCCACACUGGGACUGAGACACGGCCCAGACUCCUACGGGAGGCAGCAGUGGGGAAUAUUGCACAAUGGGCGCAAGCCUGAUGCAGCGACGCCGCGUGAGGGAUGACGGCCUUCGGGUUGUAAACCUCUUUCAGUAGGGAAGAAGCGAAAGUGACGGUACCUGCAGAAGAAGCACCGGCUAACUACGUG